UACGUAGGGUGCGAGCGUUAAUCGGAAUUACUGGGCGUAAAGCGUGCGCAGGCGGUUUUGUAAGCCAGGUGUGAAAUCCCCGGGCUCAACCUGGGAAUGGCAUUUGGGACUGCAAGGCUGGAGUGCGGCAGAGGAGACUGGAAUUCCUGGUGUAGCAGUGAAAUGCGUAGAUAUCAGGAGGAACACCGAUGGCGAAGGCAGGUCUCUGGGCUGACACUGACGCUCAUGCACGAAAGCGUGGGGAGCGAACAAGG
rnacentral:rRNA from 1 species